rnacentral:rRNA from 1 species
GAUGAACGCUGGCGGCGUGCCUCAAACAUGCAAGUCGAGCGGGGCUAUGUAAUAUCGCAAGGUAGAACAUAGCCUAGCGGCGAACGGGUGAGUAACACGUGGGUAACCUGCCUGGAAGACAGGGAUAACGAUUCGAAAGGGUCGCUAAUACCUGAUAAUAUCCUUUCAUCGCAUGGUGAUAGGAAGAAAGGGGAAACCCGCUUUCAGAUGGGCCCGCGUCCCAUCAGCUAGUUGGUAAGGUAAAGGCUUACCAAGGCGACGACGGGUAGCCGGUCUGAGAGGAUGUACGGCCACACUGGGACUGAGAUACGGCCCAGACUCCUACGGGAGGCAGCAGUUGGGAAUCUUAGGCAAUGGACGAAAGUCUGACCUAGCGACGCCGCGUGAGGGAAGAAGGCCUUCGGGUUGUAAACCUCUGUCAUGGGGAGAAGUAAGUGACGGUACCCAACGAGGAAGCCCCUGCUAACUACGUGCCAGCAGCCGCGGUAAAGUACUCUAU